AUUGAACGCUGGCGGCAUGCUUUACACAUGCAAGUCGAACGGCAGCGCGGGCUUCGGCCUGGCGGCGAGUGGCGAACGGGUGAGUAAUAUAUCGGAACGUACCCAAGAGUGGGGGAUAACGUAGCGAAAGUUACGCUAAUACCGCAUACGAUCUAAGGAUGAAAGCAGGGGAUCGCAAGACCUUGUGCUCCUGGAGCGGCCGAUAUCUGAUUAGCUAGUUGGUGAGGUAAAGGCUCACCAAGGCAACGAUCAGUAGCUGGUCUGAGAGGACGACCAGCCACACUGGAACUGAGACACGGUCCAGACUCCUACGGGAGGCAGCAGUGGGGAAUUUUGGACAAUGGGGGCAACCCUGAUCCAGCAAUGCCGCGUGAGUGAAGAAGGCCUUCGGGUUGUAAAG
rnacentral:rRNA from 1 species